ACGCUCGACACCUACGGGAGGAGCAGUGGGGAAUAUUGCACAAUGGGGGAAACCCUGAUGCAGCGACGCCGCGUGAGUGAAGAAGUAUUUCGGUAUGUAAAGCUCUAUCAGCAGGGAAGAAAAUGACGGUACCUGACUAAGAAGCCCCGGCUAACUACGUGACCAGCAGCCGCGGUAAUCUGAGCGGGCUGGCAAGGC
rnacentral:rRNA from 1 species